CAAAAAACACCCCACACACCGGAACUGUUUUUUAGAUGAAAAAAGAGCUGGAAGUUCUUCGUCUCUCGCGAUAGAAACAGAGUCUUCGAUAACUCCCAGACUCCCCACCGCGGCACCGCCGGUCCCCUCUCCUCUCUUUGCCGCCCAAACUCCGGCCACGCCGCCCCAACUCUGGCCGCUCCCCUUCCCUGCCCCGCAUCCCUCGCAUCCAUCCAGGCUCCAAUUCUGACAUCUGACACCGAUUCAACCACGCUAGGAUACAGCUGCACGGUGACGGCGGAGCAGGAAGCUAGCAGCGGCGAGCCACCGAUGGACGCGCAGGAAACUAGCACAACAGAGCGCACAAGAUACUCGCUCAAACACACCAUGUCGUGGGCUGGCAUACCAUGGCUGGAGACGAGACGGAGCGCUCGAAGUGUACCCACAUUAUAUAGUCUCUUGGCAGAUUUAGAUUCCCCUAAAAAAAUGAUACUGUUGUGUUCAUGUUGAAUACUAUUUCAGGUUCGCGAGGCAACAACUACUAGAAGAAAUUUUGCAAUUUAGCAUUUUUAGCACAUUCUGGUUGUGAGUAAAUGUAUUUUAGUUUAAGGAAUAUGUAUGCUUGUGGCCAGCUGCAGUUUAACAUUUUGUCAAUUUUUGCUAAGAUUUUCUCCUGUAAUUAUCUGAUUACUAUUUGACCAACAUCGUUUGCAAAUAUUUAUUUUUGACGAUUUUCCUUUUUUUUGUAGGUUUGACAAGAAUUCGGUAUAUGUUCUAAAUGUUCGGCUUAGAAGAAGCGUUUUAUCGGAUGGGAACCGUAUGUUUGAUUGUGCUAUGUGUACCUAUCAACUUUAUGACAUCGAUUUGAUCAAUGUCUCAGUACA